UAAGGUGAAACCNCGAAUGGCUCAUUAAAUCAGUUAUGGUUCAUUAGAUUGUACCCACAUUUACUUGGAUAACUGUGGUAAUUCUAGAGCUAAUACAUGCAACACAGAGUCCCGACCAGUGAUGGGAGGGACGCUUUUAUUAGAUCAAAACCAAUCGGUGGCGGGUAGGCUCGCCCNUCCGUCCAUCGUUUAUUUUGGUGACUCUGAAUAACUUUGUGCUGAUCGCACGGUCCUAGCACCGGCGACGCAUCUUUCAAAUGUCUGCCUUAUCAACUGUCGAUGGUAGGUUCUGCGCCUACNAUGGUUGUAACGGGUAACGGGGAAUCAGGGUUCGAUUCCGGAGAGGGAGCCUGAGAAAA
rnacentral:rRNA from 1 species